rnacentral:rRNA from 1 species
GAUGAACGCUAGCGAUAGGCUUAACACAUGCAAGUCGAGGGGUAACGUGUUGGAAGCUUGCUUCCGAUGACGACGACCGGCGGAUGGGUGCGUAACGCGUAUGCAACUUGCCUCACAGUGGAGAAUAACCCGGAGAAAUCCGGACUAAUACUCCAUACACUCUUAAGUACGCCUGUACAUGAGAGGAAAGAUUUAUCGCUGUGAGAUAGGCAUGCGUCCUAUUAGGUAGUUGGUGAGGUAACGGCUCACCAAGCCGACGAUAGGUAGGGGUGCUGAGAGGCAGAUCCCCCACAUUGGGACUGAGACACGGCCCAAACGCCUACGGGAGGCAGCAGUGAGGAAUAUUGGUCAAUGGAGGAAACUCUGAACCAGCCAAGUCGCGUGAAGGAAGAAUGUCCUAAGGAUUGUAAACUUCUUUAGCGAGCGAGUAAGGACUUCCACGUGAUGGGAGUUUGAAAGUAGCUCGAGAAUAAGUAUCGGCUAACUCCGUG